rnacentral:rRNA from 1 species
CCACUGAUAAAAAUUAAAGGGCCGCAGUAUUUUGACUGUGCGAAGGUAGCAUAAUCACUAGUCUUUUAAUUGGAGGCUUGUAUGAAUGGUUGAAUGAGAUAUAUACUGUCUUUUUUAAAAUUAUAUAGAAUUUUAUUUUUUAAUUAAAAAGUUAAAAUAAAAUUAAAGGACGAGAAGACCCUAUAGAUCUUUAUUUUUGUUAUUUAUAAAUUAAAAAGAAUAUUAAAAUUUAUAAUUUAAUUAAAAAUUUUAUUGGGGUGAUAUUAAAAUUUAAAAAACUUUUAAAAUAUAUAAACAUUAAUAUAUGAGUUAAUGAUCCAGUUUUAUUGAUUAAAAAUUUAAGUUACCUUAGGGAUAACAGCGUAAUUUUUUUUUAGAGUUCAUAUCGACAAAAAAGAUUGCGACCUCGAUGUUGGAUUAAGAGUUAUUUUUAGGUGUAGAAGUUUAAAGUUUAGGUCUGUUCGACCUUUGAAUUCUUACAUGAUCUGAGUUCAAACCGGAG